rnacentral:lncRNA from 1 species
CAGGCCGUUCGGUCGACGUAAGUCGCAUCCAUCACCAUAUGUUUGCAUCAUUCAAAAUGGCGGUUCUGAACUUGUCUGCAGAGUCAAGGCGUAUUUUAAUCGCCCUUAUACCUAGAUGUAUUUUAUUGUGUUUGUUGGUCUGAAGUUUUACAAUGAUAACUAAAUAAAUAGUUGAUCGUGAUUAAAACUGUAAGAGCUACGGGUAGCGACAGAGCUUUAACGGCAAAUGUAGCAGUCAUUCCCAUCACAGAUAUGUGACUUAGAUAUGAUAGAAAGCGCCUUCCGAGUAUCCGCCUACUUAAGUAUUUUAUACUUGAUAUGACAUUUCGAAUGGAUCUUUUUCACCAUGUGAAUUUAAUAAAAAUAUGUUUGCUGGUGUUUGUUUUAUUUCCAAUAGAGAUAUUGUUAUGUCUCAUCACGGUAGCAGCACACUAUUCGAUGGAGAUAUUUCUAUGUUGUGGGGGCCUGGGGAGGUGUAUUUCUGUGUCUUGAGUGUGGACUGGGAGGGCACCUCAGCAUGUGCACUUAGCUAUAUUCGGUGAACUGAAUAGCCGAAAUAUCGUUUUUUUUACAUCAGUCUAAGUAACUACCCUAUGAGCUGCAUAAUAACAGAAGCUGUAGCUUUGAUGAGACGAGAAUAAUAGUCUAACUCCAUCGUUGCUACAAUUGCUUGAUAUUCGCAUGCAUUCGUCAGUAAUGUGCAGAUUUUUUAGUAAUUCGGUCCAAACCAUAUUGCUUUUUUUGCAAAUUUAAUUUUAUAUAGAUCUAAUUGUGGAUAUUUUCAUACGGUGUAAAUUGUCGAACACGGAGGCAAGAUUAUAUUGUUUUAAAACGUUAUCACCGCUAUUGCUAUAUUCUUUCGCAUGUGGUAUGCGAAUGUUCGUUAAACAAUAGGAAUUGUUGGAAACAUUUGUACUCCCGUCCUUUGUUGCUGCUGGUUUCGGUUAUCCCUGAAAGCUUCCUUCAGAAUCUGUCUCUGCCGGUUUAGGGCGAUUCAGAUGUCCUCUGCCUUGUGUAUAUCCUGCACAGCCUUCUGUGGUAGGCGAUUUUCCUGCGAAGGUUAGCUGCUAGCUCCUCAUGAGUAACCCACGCUGUUUCCACUACUUUGGCUGUUGUCUGCAAGUAUAUUUCAGUAUGUUACAUCAAUAAAAAUAAAAGCGUUGUGUUGCAAGUUAUAUACUAGCUUGCGGUAAUAUGCAACAAACAGGUAUUAGGGUUUAUUAGAUUAAAGCUGAUAUCAAUAGAAAA